rnacentral:rRNA from 1 species
AUACGGAGGGUGCAAGCGUUAUUCGGAAUCACUGGGCGUAAAGGACGCGUAGGCGGGUUGGCAAGUCAGAUGUGAAAUCCUACAGCUUAACUGUGGAACUGCAUUUGAAACUGCUAACCUAGAGUAUGAGAGGGGGAGAUGGAAUUAGUGGUGUAGGGGUAAAAUCCGUAGAUAUCACUAGGAAUACCGAAAGCGAAGGCGAUCUCCUGGAACAUAACUGACGCUAAGGCGUGAAAGCGUGGGGAGCAAACAGGAUUAGAAACCCUAGUAGUCC